CAAACGAGGAAGUAAUGGCGUCUCGCGUCGUUUCGCUUUCCGAUAUUCCUGACAAAUUAUCAUAAAUGUGACAUUACAAUGCGAAAAAAAUAGAAGUCAAAGGAAUUUGUAACUGGCUGCUACAUCGGAAGGCUCGAUAUAUCUUUAGAAAAUGACGAUAUCUAACAUUUACGGGGUGAAAUCUAUCCAAGUCAGAGAAAAUCGGAUAGCCGCCAUGUUGUCAACAUUGGCAUCGAUACAAAGGAAAAGCGUGUGUGUGACGCAUACUGUAAAUGCAAACAAGGAAAUUGUUGAACAUGUUCACACACUCUGGCUGUAAAAGUAGACCUGGGAGGAAAAGUGCCCCCGGUGUGGGGCUCGAACUCACAACCACCAGAACACUAGCCCGGCGCUCUAACCAACUAAGCUGACCGGGCAGCUGGUUCUAACCCACACACACUACCCUCCCCCCAUUUACCGGUUAAGGCUGGUGGAGGGUCUCCUGCUAUUUACCGUUGACACCAUUAAAGUAUUCUGAUUGAUGGAGAUAAGGAAGUCCCCUUAUUAUUGUCUUAAACAAGCCUACCGCCACAGGGGACCUAGCAUAAGACCGGAAACCGCCCCCCCCCACCCACACACAUGAUAUUUGCCAGUCCAGGCAAUGUCAACCGCAAGAGAAAACCAGUGAUGACAAGUUUUACAAAUAAUCGGAAAGUGUGGUCUUUUGAAGAGAGUUCUUGAAGUUGUUCAGCAUGUUGUUUUGAUGGAUUCUUGGAAGGAUGUACCUCUAUGAUGUUAGCUUCAGUUCUGGAGUAUAACACCAGUUGUUGCAUAUU